rnacentral:rRNA from 1 species
AACGAACGCUGGCGGCAUGCCUAACACAUGCAAGUCGAACGAGACCUUCGGGUCUAGUGGCGCACGGGUGCGUAACGCGUGGGAACCUGCCCUUAGGUUCGGAAUAACUCCCCGAAAGGGGUGCUAAUACCGGAUAAUGUCUCCGGACCAAAGAUUUAUCGCCUUUGGAUGGGCCCGCGUUGGAUUAGCUAGUUGGUAGGGUAAAAGCCUACCAAGGCGACGAUCCAUAGCUGGUCUGAGAGGAUGAUCAGCCACACUGGGACUGAGACACGGCCCAGACUCCUACGGGAAGCAGCAGUGGGGAAUAUUGGACAAUGGGCGAAAGCCUGAUCCAGCAAUGCCGCGUGAGUGAUGAAGGCCUUAGGGUUGUAAAGCUCUUUUACCCGGGAUGAUAAUGACAGUACCGGGAGAAUAAGCUCCGGCUAACUCCGUG